rnacentral:rRNA from 1 species
UAGGGAAUCUUCCACAAUGGACGAAAGUCUGAUGGAGCAACGCCGCGUGAGUGAAGAAGGGUUUCGGCUCGUAAAGCUCUGUUGGUAGUGAAGAAAGAUAGAGGUAGUAACUGGCCUUUAUUUGACGGUAAUUACUUAGAAAGUCACGGCUAACUACGUGCCAGCAGCCGCGGUAAUACGUAGGUGGCAAGCGUUGUCCGGAUUUAUUGGGCGUAAAGCGAGUGCAGGCGGUUCAAUAAGUCUGAUGUGAAAGCCUUCGGCUCAACCGGAGAAUUGCAUCAGAAACUGUUGAACUUGAGUGCAGAAGAGGAGAGUGGAACUCCAUGUGUAGCGGUGGAAUGCGUAGAUAUAUGGAAGAACACCAGUGGCGAAGGCGGCUCUCUGGACUGUAACUGACGCUGAGGCUCGAAAGCGUGGGGAGCGAACAGGAUUAGAUACCCUGGUAGU